rnacentral:lncRNA from 1 species
CAAUCAUGAUGUUGAUAUAGGCAAAAACAAAGUCAAAUCGUCCAAACAAGGAGCCCAUCAAUCUUUGGGAAGUAUUGCAGGCGUUGCGUAGUCCAAAGUGCAUUCUUGUGAAUUCAUAAAGCCCUGCACACGUCGUUAUUAAAGUUUUCUAGCAGUCGCUUGACAUUGGUAUUCUAUGGUAACAGUCUGGAAGGGAUAGGGUGUUCAACUGCCGGUAGUCACAAACUAUGCACAAUGAACCAUCCUGCUUUGGUACCAAGUGAAUUGGAGAAGACCAAUUGGAUUUUGACCUGCGUUUAAUUCCAGUCGACAAUAGUUUAGAAAGUUCUUUCCUCACUAUAGUCUCUUUUUCAGGAGUUAUACGGUGAGUACGUGAAAAGCAGGGAUUCCCCGUUGUGAAAAUUUUGUGCUCAACUGACGUGGCUCCGGAAAGAAUUCUUCUUCAGACUGAGGAGUGGGAUAUCGAGCUAGCAUUUUCCUGGCAAUGUCACACCUUUCUUUUAUCACCGAAGGAGUAAGUUGGUUCUGUUGCAGUGAACCUAGUUCCAUGUUUACAGACAGUUUAAAAUGGCUCAAGAAAUAGGCACCAACGACUCCGUACUCAAUAUCCGCCACAACAAACUCCAACCAGACCUUGAACACGGGGUCGAACUCGAAUUCCAAGCACCAUGAGUUCUCACAGGAGUUCCAUUCACGGCAAUGAGCUUGGCGGAUGAUGGAUUACAUCUCCUGGAGAAGAGGUUCCUCUGAACGAUCGAUCCCUGGGAUCCGGUGUCGACAAGGAACUUAAUCCCAUUACUAUAAAUAAAUAAAAGAACAUUUCUAAAAGGGUAGUUCAUGCAAGGUGAAUUUAUGUUCAUGGACCCGACGAUUGCUUGGUGUUUUGGAAUGAUGAGCUUUGGACAGAUUUAAAUAGUUUCGCACUUUGUGGCCCUUUUCCCCCAUUUCCUGCGGUAAAAACAUUCCUUUUUCUCCUUAAUUGGAUCAUGGGACGUAAGUUCUUGAUAGCAUGAAUCACGCCUGGGCCCUCAACCAUAGUUGUUUGAUAUUUGACGUUCCAAUUGAAAUCUAACAAGCUAAUAUCCGAGAAUUGCACCGAUAAACCAGCCAUUCUGAUCUCCAAGGAGAAUCCUCACGAGUAUUUGUUUCAUUAUGGCCUCACAGAAAUCGGCAACAUUUGAGAGAUAAUCCCUUGCCAAGCUCACAAUUUCAUCAAUAGAGUGGAUAUGCGGCGCUUCGACGAGCUGGAAGAGCCUCUCAAUUUUAUCCUGGGUGGCUAUUUUGUGCUCACCUAAGACAUUCGCUUUCAGAUCGGAGUAAGGGAUUGCGCUUAAUGUGUCUUCACUCUCAUCACCAAAAGGGUCCAGGACUUUGUCAUCGAUCAGUUUGAAUCAUUCUGAAAAAUAGCAGCAAAGUAUUUUUAUUGGAGGGGGUGUAUAUUAGAAGUGAUUCAUGCAGUGAACGAAUCUUUUUAUUCAGUUCACUAAAAGGAAUCACAAUACCCAGCAUUAGAAAAAGCAUAACUUUCACGAAAAAAAGAAAAUAAAUCUGCAAUGAAAGAAUCAUUUUUGUACAAUAUUGCAAUAUACAAUACCAUAGAGGACUUAUGAAGUUAUGAAGUUAUGACUUAUGAGUGACUUGGCGUCAUAUUUUCGAAAACAUGCAACCUCUUCAAAUAUUCAAUGCUACUAUCUCCAUCAAAUAAAAUUGUAAAUUGUACAUACUAUACGUUGUAGUAUUAUCGUUCAACAUGAUAGAUUAUUUAUAUUUGUUAAGACUCAUGAUGGACGUACAAGCAUAACAACAGAUCAGGGAAGAGUAGUGAUUUCGGAUUUUUACUUUCUUAUGAUCCAGGAUGUUUCGAAGGAAGAAGAGGUUGGCUAUGGUGAAGAAAACCACUGAGAACAUUUGCGGAGGCACUCAAAGGUCGGGUCGUAGGAGAGCACGAGGAAAUGAGAGACUUAAGCGAGGAAAACAGUAAAGCUCAGUAGAGUUGGAACAAUCUGAAUAAAAAGAUGAGAACGAUGGUCUUUGUCUCUUCGUGAACCUUCCUUCUUACACAAAGAAUACAAAACAGGCUGCAUUUCGUAGUCACUCAAGGGACUCGGAGUUGAGUAUCUAGGACUGUGAAUGUAUACCUUGAAAGAAUUUCAAGCCAAGUUAUGAGUUAAUUAUUGCAACGAAUUUUUAUGUGUAUUUUUCUAGUAUGAUAAAAUUUCAUUUGAAUAUGUAACUUCAAUUCCAAUAAUUGUCCCUUGUGAGUGUUAAAUUCCAUCAGUUUACUAAUUUAUUGAAUAAAUGUAAAUACAUAUUU